rnacentral:rRNA from 1 species
GAUGAACGCUGGCGGCGUGCCUAAUACAUGCAAGUCGAGCGAACGGACGAGGAGCUUGCUUCUCUGAUGUUAGCGGCGGACGGGUGAGUAACACGUGGAUAACCUACCUAUAAGACUGGGAUAACUUCGGGAAACCGUAGCUAAUACCGGAUAAUAUUUUGAACCGCAUGGUUCAAAAGUGAAAGACGGUCUUGCUGUCACUUAUAGAUGGAUCCGCGCUGCAUUAGCUAGUUGGUAAGGUAACGGCUUACCAAGGCAACGAUGCAUAGCCGACCUGAGAGGGUGAUCGGCCACACUGGAACUGAGACACGGUCCAGACUCCUACGGGAGGCAGCAGUAGGGAAUCUUCCGCAAUGGGCGAAAGCCUGACGGAGCAACGCCGCGUGAGUGAUGAAGGUCUUCGGAUCGUAAAACUCUGUUAUUAGGGAAGAACAUAUGUGUAAGUAACUGUGCACAUCUUGACGGUACUUAAUCAGAAAGCCACGGCUAACUACGUG